AUGUUACAUUAAGUAUUGAAACACGUUUCUUUUGUACACGUAAAUUCUUUCUUGUACAUGGUAUUUCGCAGUAUCGGAAAAUCCGGACUUGGAUUAGAUUUGGGUCACAGUCUAUUCUUCGGUCGGUAAGUUAGCUCAUCAAAAUGAGUGGGAAAAAUGCAAAUGUUUUUGUUUAUUGAAUUGCACAUUUAUGCAAUGGAAUAUGUGUAACAUGAUCUCGACGUUGACCGCGGCUGGAAAAGGAAAAAGGUUCAAUAAAUUCUUAAAAAUUUGUGAAUUAAAGAUAUUAAUUAUUACAAUCUCUAAUAUCUGAUUACGUUUUGAUAGAAAUUAAACUUUAACCAUAUUGGCACCCUUCGUGUAUAUAAUCUUAAAUUACAUUUACAUAACGGAAAUUAAAUUAAUAUAAUCUGCUUAAAAGUGGAGUAUCAACGCAAAGUACAAUUUGCUUAUCAAAAAUCAAUAUGCAUUCCUGACAUAGCGGAUAAGAACUUCGACCACUACCACGGAGUACAAAUAGUUCCAUAUGUAUCUUCAUUAAUUAAAUUGGAUGAAAACGAUUUUGUGCAUAACAUAAAAUUUGUGCAUUAAAUUAAUAGAUAAUUAUUACAUGACAUUUGUAUAUGUACAUAUAAAUACAGUACUUCUAAUGAUUUACAAAAAUAUUUAAUAGAAUAUUAUGUUACCUCCGUUACUGGCGAAAUAAUUUUUCAAAUGAUUAAUAUGAUGUUUAUUCGCAGAUUUGUUUGGAUGUCCUUCAAAAAACCAUAUUUUCCAUCGUUUAUCGAAAAAUUUCCAAUUAGUUCGAAGAGAUCACCUUUGUUUGUCCAUAAUUGGAUGAAUCUAAAUGGAAUGUUCAUAGACGUUCACGAGUAUUUCACUUUCACGGUGUCCCACUUAUAAGAAAAAGAAUUGUGAAAAUCUAAAAGCUUCGGGAAUGGUUUCACACAUUACAUUCAUUGAGGAUUUUACCUUUUCUCAACAACGUGCAGGAAUGAAAGGAUAUUUACUCGAUGCAAAGACACAGAGAAAGAAACUAGAAACACAGAACAUGGCGGAAGAUAAUGUACCAUGUAAUUUGAUAAUGCAUAAUCGAUGAAACAAAAAAGGUAUUAGAAAAGGAAAAAUUUGUCGCGGCGAUAGUAUUUCCACAAACGCCACAAAUUUCACAGCAACCCUUCCUUGGCGUGCUUCCUUCGUCAUUUUGUUCAAUGGAUUUGAUAAAGACGAACAGCCGUCGGGAAGUAUCAACAUUUUACGAAUUUGAUUUGUAUCAGGUAGUCGCAAUAUGUGAAACAUCAGCUUCUUGCAAUAAAAUAUACCUAUUCCUCAUGACAGUUAUUGUCUGAAGUGGUUCCUCUAUGCAGAGUGUCCUUAUUUAACUUAUUUAAUUACAAUAAUUAACAUUGCAAUCUGUUCUUCAUCCAAUGCUAUUGUAACAACUGAGUAAGUAAUAUUGUUCUUCUUAUAAAUUUUGCGCUAGAUCGUUUGGCAUUUGAUUCUAUAUGAAGCAACGCAAUGUACGGUAAGAAUGCGAUAUUACAGAUAAAAUAUUAUAUAAUAUAUUACACCCGAUUGAAAAUACAAUAUUAGCGAAUCGUUGAAAUAUGGUCCAAUGUUCGAAAUUGAAAAGAUUGACAAUGUAUAUCGUAGAAUCGUCUGAAAAUGGCAAACUUUCUGUAUUGCAGAUAUGGCGAAAGAAUAGAGGAUGAAUCAGUAAUUAAUUUCCAUAGUGAUGGGUUAUGGACAUGAAUUUUUACGAUGACUAACGGGUAAUUCGGAAAAAUAAGAGAUAACGGAAGAAUUGACAAAACGUAUACAAAAACGACUGAUUCUAUCAUGGAAGAUAUGACUCAGAUCUUUGUGAAAUUUCAAGCUGGAAAUUUUAUGAGCACCAGAUAUUGUUGAAAUGUAGAUUUUCUAUAGGAAUUCUGUAACAAAUAUACAAGACAAUAUAAAGGAAUCUGCUGCCGUCAAAAUAAGAAUUUCCUGUUAGAACUGAAAAAAUAGAAACGGAGGAUCAUAAAAUAUACACAGAGUCGUAACAAUAUAUCAUGAAAAAAGUGCUGCUUAUUAUCAUACUAUGACUUCCAUGUAGCUAAAUUAUAAAACGUCAGACGAAUUUUAUCCAUGCAUAUGGUGUUAUUUCAGUUGAAAAAAAAAAAUGAAAUAUGCUACAUUUUAAUAAUUUCAAUAAUUGGGAUUAUCAUGCUGAAAUGUCUGGAAUUAUAUAAAGAUUAACGAUUCUAAACUCACAAACCUCUCCGACUAUUCCGAAAAGGAAAAGAAAUACUCGUUUACUAUCGAUGUAUGAUCGCACGAAAAAAUCAAACAUAACUCCGAUUUUUGAUUGUAGAUGAAAAUCACAAAGAAAGAACAUCAUAGGUCACAUUUCCUACGUUUUACAGGAAACGAAUUCUAACAUUACCAAAAUUGUGUUUGUGUUCAAAAAACAGUGCUCGUCACAAUAUUCCAGUAUCAGAAAGAUAUUAAAAUAUUGCUUGUGUUAAUAAUUAUACAAAUUAUUCGUUCGCAAUUACAUCUUCUGUGUACUAAUAACGCAAUGUACCACAUUAAUAUGAUAUUUUCAGUAAAACCACAUAUUAUGUCUGUCAUUCGAAGGACACGUGAUUGUAAAUAUAACACUAUAAAAUCUUUUUUAUUGAAUGUUUUUGACAUUAAAAGGGUGAAGAAUGGCAAAAAUAAAAUUAAUCGAAAAUCAAAAUUCUAUUCCACUUCAGAAUUUCCAGAAGAAUGAAAUAUAAAUCAAUGAUUAAUAUAAAUAAUUUAUUAUUAAAUUAUCAAUUAUUAAAUAUUAAUUCGUAUCAUCACUACCAACAACUAUCGUAAAGUCAAUGAUGUAGGAGAAAUUCUACUGAAGAGAGUAUAUCAUAGUAAAGUACGAGAUAGACGUACUCAGCAUCUGAAAUGCAAUAACAUUUGACUAGCAGAUAUCAGACAACGAUUAUACUAAACAGACUGAAAAAAUCACCAUCGAAAAACCGACAUGAAAAGCAUCGAAAAAUUCGAAAAGGUUUAUCACAUUUUCCGUUGAACUCCUCAACAUGAUAAAGGGUAACAAAUUCUACGCUUCUACGCUAAUUCUAUUAUCAAAAAUAUACCAAGAAAGAAGGACAAAAAAAUAAGAGAUAAAAAAGUGUUUCGUUAAAAACUCGAAACAGAAUUUCCUACAUGUCAAUAUUAUGCACAGGAGUUAUUCUUUCUCCGCGUAUCUAAAAACUAUUUGUCGACCAUCCUCGUUACUUUUAAACACCGCUAGUUGUCUCGAAGGAUUUCUGCGAUGCCCUUUAUCUAUAAAUUCGAAGGCGUUGAAUUAAAAGGAACCUUGAAUCUUAAAAAAGGAAAUGUAAAAAUAUCUAAAUUAAUAAAAUAAAGACACAUACUGGACACAUUAUAGAACAGACCAUCAUCGCCGCGCCAAAAACUCCUUUCAUUUUAGUUAGCCACGAAUUAUCGUACGGCGAGAGUUCGACCACCGAUAAGAAAAUCUUAUUCAGUAUAGGAUUUUGCGGAUCCUCCAUCGUUACAGGGAGGCAAAAACUCGUCUAUGACAGUGGACUUGCAACAAGUUUCUCCGAUUCCCUGACUAUCUCGUGUAUUAACUCAGCUACAAUUUUCUUGUUCGACGCGUUUGGAAAGUUAAAGAACCAUAAUGUAACUUAAUGCAACUAGUAAACGAAACGAAGGAGAAACAAAUAGCUGUCUAUUAAAAGCUGCAGUUCCAUUAAUCUACCGGUGUGCGACUUCUACAAUGUUUUAUCCUAGGGAUGAAAUCGUGGAGUUGAUUGCAUACUUCGUGAGAACUCGUGCAACCGUUUCUCGUGUUUUCACGUUUGAAUGAGUUGGAGCUGGGAAACCGACCGAUGGCCUGUUUCCAAUGUUAUGGAAAUUUAAUGACGUCAAUUUCCCUUCCGUGUCCGUCUGUUUCACGCAUGAUCGUCCCCACUGCAGUAUACUUGCCCAUUCCUGAUUCACUGUGCAACAAGUUGCUCCCUAUUCUCAACAGUGAUGCAUAGAGCUUGUGUGUACGAGUCUGUUCUCGAAGAGGACAUAGUUGAGAAUCCAUGGCUGAUGAUCAAACUAAUAGAACGUUAAGCCACGUUAAUGUUUUAGAAAUUUUGACGCGAAUGCAACAGGUUGCAAUCAAAGGCAAGUAUACUUCACAUUUUCUUUCAAUCUUUUUCCAAUAGUUUUCAAUAGACAGUUGUACUUUUGGUUACAAUAAUUGACAAAAUUAUUAAUAAUUGCCCGCAUUACUUGACAUUUUUAGCAAGCACAAUAAUAUCUUUCUGCCAAUGCCAGAAGAGCAUAAAAAUAAAAUAGUUCUGUCCAUAGUAUUGCUUAAAUAAUUGUACCGACGCGAUGCACAGUAUGCAUUGACAGCAGUGAAUGUAUUGAAAGAGAACUUCAUCUUAAAAGUAUCAAUCCGAUCAACGUAGCUAGAAAAUGUGUAUUUUACGAAAAAUCUCGUACAAGUCCAAUUCUCUAAAGAUUAAUAGAAAAUUAAGAUUUGCGAACCAUGGUGUGAUCGUUUGACAUUGGACAGUGACAUAUAAUGUAGAAACAUGAAGCGUGGUUAUUCGAUUCUACUGUUCUGCUUUAAAGAGUUUCAGAAGAACGUGCUAUAUAUUGUCCACGCUGUUGCUUGACGUUUAAUGCUGUCGGAUAAUGUCUUUUCAGAACGGAAACUUUGCGCGUAGCCUGCCAUAGUACGAGAUUGUGUGUUUUUUUUUAGUGUUAUUUUAUAUUUUUUAUUUAGUGUUUUUUUUUUUUUGGUUAUGGAACUACACAACCGAAAGGAAAGUAGUUUUGUUUAUGAUAAUUAACCUAUGUUACAUUAAAUAUUGAAACACGUUUCUUUUGUACACGUAAAUUCUUUCUUGUACAUGGUAUCUCGCAGUAUCGGAAAAUCCGGACUUGGAUUAGAUUUGGGUCACAGUUUAUUCUUCGGUCGGUAAGUUAGCUCAUCAAAAUGAGUGGGAAAAAUGCAAAUGUUUUUGUUUAUUGAAUUGCAAAUUUAUGCAAUGGAAUAUGUGGAACACGAUCUCGACGUUGACCGCGGCUGGAAAAGGAAAAAGGUUUAAUAAAUUCUUAAAAAUUCGUGAAUUAAAGAUAUUAAUUAUUACAAUCUCUAAUAUCUGAUUACGUUUUGAUAGAAAUUAAAUUUUAAUCAUAUUGGCACCCGUCGUGUAUAUAAUCUUAAAUUCCAUUUACAUAACGGAAAUUAAAUUAAUAUAAUCUGUUUAAAAGUGGAGCAUGAACGCAAAGUACAAUUUUUGUAAAAGGAAGAGGGGAAACAAAAAACGAGAGGCAUUAGCGUGACAGGGGCAUGUCGAUUUCUUACGAAAAAGUAAAAAUGUAUGUUAUGGGAGAACUAUGACAGGGGAAUGAAAAAUCAAUAUGCAUUCCUGACAUAGCGGAUAAGAACUUCGACCACUACCACGGAGUACAAAUAGUUCCAUAUGUAUCUUCAUUAAUUAAAUUGGAUGAAAACGAUUUUGUGCAUAACAUAAAAUUUGUGCAUUAAAUUAAUAGAUAAUUAUUACAUGACAUUUGUAUAUGUACAUAUAAAUACAGUACUUCUAAUGAUUUACAAAAAUAUUUAAUAGAAUAUUAUGUUACCUCCGUUACUGGCGAAAUAAUUUUUCAAAUGAUUAAUAUGAUGUUUAUUCGCAGAUUUGUUUGGAUGUCCUUCAAAAAACCAUAUUUUCCAUCGUUUAUCGAAAAAUUUCCAAUUAGUUCGAAGAGAUCACCUUUGUUUGUCCAUAAUUGGAUGAAUCUAAAUGGAAUGUUCAUAGACGUUCACGAGUGCGUUUGAAAAGGGAAUAUUUGUCGCGACAGUAUUUCCGCAGUCUCCGCGAACUUCACAGUAAUAUUUCCUUGGUGUGUUCCCUUCAUUUUAUUCAAUGGAUUUGACAGCCAGGAUUUGGCUGGAGGAACAGUCGUCGAGGAGUUUCAACAGUUUAUGAAUUUGAUUUGUAUCAGAUUUGGUGAAAGAUUGGAGGAUGAAGUAGCAAUUAAUUUCAAUAGUGAUAGGUUAUGGACAUGAAUUUACUAUGACUAACGAGUAAUUCGAAAAAAUAAGAGAUAAGCGAGAAAUGGACAAAGACAUACAAAAACGACUGAUUCUAUCAUGGAAGAAAUGACUCACAGGAAUUCUGUAACAAAUAUACGAGACAAUAUGAAAGAAUCUGCAAUCGUCAAAUUAAGAAGUUAUUAUGAGGGCUGAAAAAAAUAGCAACGAAUGAUCUCGCAAUAUAUAUAGUGUGGCGUAAUAAUAAUAUAUCAUGGAAAAUGUGAUGCAUAUUACCAUAUUAUAACUUCUAUUUACCUAGAUUAUAAAGCGUCAGCCGAAUUUUAUCUAUGCAGGAGUUAUUUCACUUUUCAAAAAAAUAUGAAAUAUGCUAUAUUUUAAUAAUUACAAUAAUUGGAAUUAUCAUACUGGAACUUACAUAAGGAUUAUUGAAUCUGAACUCAUAAACAUUUUCGACCAUUUCGAAAAGGAAAAGAAAUAUUCGUUUACUCUCCAAGGAUGAUCGCACGAAAAAAUCAAACAUAACUCCGAUUUUUGAUUGUAGAUGAAAAUCACAAAGAAAGAACAUCAUAGGUCACAUUUCCUACGUUUUACAGGAAACGAAUUUUAACAUUACCGAAAUUGUGUUUGUAUUCCACUGCGGAAUUAUGCGUGUUCUUUUAUCGCAU